AGCUCCAAUAGCGUAUAUUAACGUUGCUGCAGUUAAAAGGCUCGUAGUCGAACUUAUGGCGUGUGAUAUGUGACCCAUUGCUUACUGCAUUGGUGGUUAUAUGUUCAAGUCAUCUUUCUGGAAAGCAUUUCUGCCCUUCAUUGGGUGGUUUUGUACUUCAGAUCAUUUACUGUGAGUAAAUCAGAGUGUUCAAAGCAAGCUUUUAAUGCUUGUAUGCAUUAGCAUGGAAUAAUAAGAUAGGACUUUGAUUCUAUUUUGUUGGCUUCUAGAAUUGAAGUAAUGAUUGAAAGGGAUAGUUGGGGGUGCUAGUAUUUAACGGUCAGCGGUGAAAUGCGUGGACCCGUUAAAGACUAACUUAUGCGAAAGCAUUCACCAAGGAUAUUUUCU
rnacentral:rRNA from 1 species